UGAAAUUUGAAAUGAGAAAAUAUAACGUGAUAUUUUAAAGCCCUGGGCAAACUAGGAAACAUUGUUGUGGAAACAUUUGUGAUUCUCGAUGUUUCCUCAAAUGUUUUCCUGUUUGCCCACCCGUGGAAACAUUGUUGCGGAAACAAAAUUUGCUUCCCGAGAAGCAAAAAUGUUUCCUAGCGAAUUCAGAAACAUUUGAUGUUUCCCACUAAUGUUUCCUAGUGUUUGUCCACUCUUGGAAACAUG